GUCAGCAUGCAGCAAUCAAGACUGUCAAAGGCACUACAUGCAGAAGCUGCUGGUUCACCUAGUCAGCAAGCUGUUAUGUUUCAUUUUGUAAUUUUAAGAUAGAGUAAUGUAACUUAGUUGCUUUAUAACUAUGUUAGGUUUAUGCUUGAUGUAAUUUUGAUGUUGAUUGAGCUGAUAAAUCAGCUUUGUCUAUUUGUUCAAGCUAAUUAGCACAAGUUACUAUGUGUAUUAGUGGUAGUAGGUGAAGUUUAGGUCAACCUACUGUUUUGUCAAGAUUGUAAACUUGUUUAUGUAUUGGCUUUGGGCCAUUUUGAAGUUUAAGGAAUGAAUUCAACAAGUUUUCAUCCAUAUGCUCUCCAUUUUUAGUUUUGCUUAAAAAUCCAUUUGAGUUUUCUGCUUUGUUUCUCCUACAAGUCACGAGACUUGCAAAACAAGCAUUCUGCUGAAGCUUGCUGUUGCUGCCUCUUGCACCAACAAUUGGUAUCUAGAGCCGUAUUCUUAGAGGACCUGUUGUAGUUCAACAUCAAAACGAUGGCAUCAUCAGGUUUUUCACCAGCUUCACCACCUGUCUUCAAUGGAGAGGGCUUCAACAUUUGGGCAGUUAAGAUGAGGACUUACCUGCAGGCAUUCGACCUAUGGGAAGUUGUCAACUCAGAUGCUGAGCCAGCACCUCUUCGAGCUAAUCCAACAGUUGCUCAAAUAAGGCAACACACUGAUGAAAGAACAAAAAGGCACAAGGCCAUGUCAUGCAUACAGAAUUGUGUGACAGAUGUGAUCUUUAUGAGGAUCAUGGCCUGUGAAACACCAAAGGAGGCUUGGGACAAGCUGAAAGAAGAAUUUCAGGGGACUGAGAAAACAAGGCAACAACAGCUGCUCAACUUGAGAAGAGAUUUCGAAAAUCUCAAAAUGAAAGAGGAAGAAACAGUUAAGCAGUACUCAGAUCGGAUUAUGGCUGUUGUAAACAGCAUAAGGCUCCUAGGAGAGCAAUUCAGUGAAGCUAGAAUGGUUGAGAAAGUCAUGUCCACUCUACCAGAGAGGUAUGAAGCUAAAAUUUCAUCCCUCGAAGACUCAAGGGACUUGACAACUAUCUCCUUAACUGAGCUAAUCAAUGCCUUGUAUGCACAAGAGCAAAGAAGAGCCAGCAGACAAGAGGAGCACCAGGAAGGGGCUUUUCAAGCCAAAGAAGCCUCGAGCAUCAAAACUCAUAAAGGCAAAAAGUUCUGGAAAAACAGGCCUAAGCCUGAUGCUGCUAGGAGCAGUGACCAACUCUGCAGACAUUGUAAAAGAGCUGGUCAUCCAGAAGAUAGAUGCUGGUUUAGACCAGAUGCAGUAUGCCAACACUGCAAGAAAAAAGGCCAUGCUGAAAAAGUUUGCAAGAAUAGAAGCAAACCAAGACAGAAUCAAUUUCAGCAACAAAAGGUAGAAGCUCGAGUAGCUGAAGAAAGCAGUGAUCAAGAAGAACAUGUUUUUGCUGUGUCAUGUGCAGCAAAUCAGAAAAAGGGUGCAAAGGGCUGGCUUCUAGACAGUGGGUGCACAAACCACAUGUCACCAGAUGCAACUAUCUUCAAAACCCUGGACAGAACCUGCAAAACCAAAGUAAAAAUUGGAAAUGGUCAGUUAAUCAAUGCUGAAGGAAAAGGAGAUGUGCUGAUUCAUACCUCUACAGGUGGCAAAAUCAUUUCAAAUGUACUUUUGGUACCUGAAAUUGAUAGGAACCUUCUCAGUAUAACUCAACUACUUGAGAAAGGUUACUCAGUUGUUUUCAAGGAGAAAGAAUGUCAAAUUUUUGAUCCAAGUGGAUCAAACCUCAUAACAGUCACCAUGACUGAUAAAUGUUUUGAAGUAGACUGGCCAAAUGACUCACAUUCAGCCUGCAUAGCCUCCACUGAUGACUCGAGACUCUGGCACCAGAGGCUUGGACAUGCAAACUACAAAUCCAUAGCCCGCAUGGUCAAUGAAGGUCUGGCAGAAAAUUUCAUCGAUUCAGUGAAGAAUGAUGAGCUUUGUGAGAUAUGUCAGCAAGGAAAAUUGGCAAGAUUGCCAUUUCCAACAAGCACAACAUGGAGAGCAUCAGAGAAGCUCCAGCUUGUGCAUACAGAUGUGUGUGGACCAAUGAAGACUGAGUCUCUCAAAGGAAGCAGGUACUUUAUUUUAUUUAUUGAUGACUUAACAAGAUACUGCUGGAUUUAUUUUCUAAAACAGAAGUCAGAAGUUCCAUCUGUGUUCCUGAAGUAUAAAGCUGCUGUUGAAACUGAGUCUGGUUGCAAACUUAGAGCAAUGAGGUCAGAUAAUGGAACUGAGUACACCUUAGCUCAGUUCCAAGCCUACUGUGAAGAAGCAGGUAUCAAACACCAGUUGACUAAUGUGUAUACACCCCAACAGAAUGGGGUCAGUGAAAGGAAAAACAGAAGCUUGAUGAACAUGGCAAGAUGUCUUCUAUUUGAGAAGAAUUUGCCCAAAACUCUGUGGGCUGAAGCUGUUAGCACAGCAGUCUAUCUCCAAAAUAGGCUCCCAACCAAGGCUCUGGCUGAAAAGACUCCAUUUGAAGCCUGGUUUGGGUUUAAGCCAUCACUGGCUCAUCUCAGAACCUUUGGUUGUCUAUGCUACACACAAGUUCCAGCUGAGAAGAGAAGCAAGCUAGAUAAAAGAGCUCAAGCAGGGAUCCUGAUCGGCUAUAGCUUGGUUAAGAAGGGCUACAGAAUCCUAGAACCUGCUACAAACAAGAUAUUGGUUAGCAGGGAUGUUGUUUUCAAUGAAAAAGGACACUGGAAUUGGGAGAAGGCUGAACCAGAGGCAGUGGCUGAAGAUCUCGCAGUGGACCAAGUUGAAAAUGAUGAAAACACACCUGAAAUGGAUGUAGAUGAUGUUCCAAUCAGAGGCACUCGAUCACUGGCUGAUGUUUAUGAAAGAGCACAAGUGGCUACUGUUGAACCAAGUUGCUUUGAAGAAGCAGAAAACCAGGAGGACUGGAAGCAAGCAAUGAUUGAAGAAAUCAGAAUGAUUGAAAAGAAUCAGACCUGGAGUCUGGUUGAUAAACCAAUAAACAGGAAGAUUAUUGGUGUCAAAUGGGUUUAUCGAGUAAAGAACAAUGCUGAUGGUAGCCUAAAUAAGUUAAAGGCUAGAUUGGUUGUGAAAGGUUUCAGUCAAAGGUAUGGGUCAGACUACCUGGAAACCUUUGCACCAGUGGCCAGGCUAGACACUAUCAGACUGCUAGUUGCCUUAGCAGCACAAAAACAGUGGCUGAUACACCAACUUGAUGUAAAAUCAGCAUUUCUGAAUGGAUUCCUUGAAGAGGAGAUUUAUGUGGAGCAACCUCAAGGUUUCAAGGUGUCUGGCAAGGAAGAAAUGGUGUACAAGCUUAACAAAGCCUUGUAUGGCUUGAAACAGGCUCCAAGGGCCUGGUAUAGCAGAAUAGAUGGCUAUCUGACCAGUCAAGGAUUUGAAAGAAGUCUUAGCGAGCCAACUCUGUAUGUUAAAUCAACUAGUGCUGAAACUCAGCUCAUUGUCUCAAUAUAUGUCGAUGACCUACUGGUGACAGGAGGAGAUUAUGAGAUGCUAAGCAACUUUAAAGUCAAAAUGCAACAGCACUUUGAAAUGUCAGACUUGGGAUUGAUGUCUUACUUCUUAGGCAUGGAAGUGAACCAAGCUAAGAAUGGGAUUUGGCUAAGUCAAAAGACCUUUGCUAUGAAGGUUCUCAACAAAUUCUCAAUGGAGAAUUGCAAAGCAACCAGCACACCAGUUGCUGUUGGAGAAAAACUCUCGAGCCAAGACAAGCAUGAAAAGGUUUGUGAAACAACCUAUCGAAGUCUAGUUGGAUGUUUGUUGUAUUUGACUGCUACUAGACCUGACAUAAUGUAUGCUGUGAGUCUACUCUCGAGGUUUAUGCAUUGUUCAAAUGAAAGUCAUUUUAGAGCUGCAAAAAGAGUUCUAAGAUACAUCAAAGGAACUUUGUCCUAUGGAAUGCAGUUUACCAAGGCUGAGAACUUGAAGCUAGUUGGAUAUUGUGACAGUGAUUGGGCUGGUUCCUUGGAUGACAUGAAGAGCACUACAGGUUAUGCAUUCAACAUAGGCUCUGCUAUGAUUUGCUGGAGCUCAAAGAAGCAGGGAGUAGUGGCUCAGUCGACUGCAGAAGCGGAAUAUGUGGCUGCUGCUGCAGCAGUCAAUCAAGCCAUAUGGCUUAGAAAAAUUUUGAAAGAUAUCAAUCAUGAGCAAAAGGAAGCAACUGAGAUAAUGUGUGACAACCAAUCAGCAGUUGCUAUUGCAAAGAAUCCUGUUUUUCAUGGAAGGACCAAGCACUUCAACAUCAAACUUCAUGCAGUUCGAGAAAUGGAACAAGCUCAUGUUGUUAAGCUGAUACAUUGCAGUUCUGAAGAGCAAAUUGCUGAUAUUUUAACAAAAGCACUAAGUGUUUCCAAGUUUCAACACCUGAGAGCUAAUAUGGGAGUUUGCAACAUGCUAACCAAGGAGGAGUAUUGAAGUUAUGGUCAGCAUGCAGCAAUCAAGACUGUCAAAGGCACUACAUGCAGAAGCUGCUGGUUCACCUAGUCAGCAAGCUGUUAUGUUUCAUUUUGUAAUUUUAAGAUAGAGUAAUGUAACUUAGUUGCUUUAUAACUAUGUUAGGUUUAUGCUUGAUGUAAUUUUGAUGUUGAUUGAGCUGAUAAAUCAGCUUUGUCUAUUUGUUCAAGCUAAUUAGCACAAGUUACUAUGUGUAUUAGUGGUAGUAGGUGAAGUUUAGGUCAACCUACUGUUUUGUCAAGAUUGUAAACUUGUUUAUGUAUUGGCUUUGGGCCAUUUUGAAGUUUAAGGAAUGAAUUCAAC
rnacentral:lncRNA from 1 species